UACGUAGGGGGCAAGCGUUGUCCGGAGUUACUGGGCGUAAAGCGCACGCAGGCGGUCUUCUAAGUUUGGCGUGACAGUUGGUGGCUUAACUGCCAAAGUGCUUCGAAAACUGAGAGACUUGAGGGCUUCAGAGGGACACGGAAUUCCGGGUGGAGUGGUGAAAUGCGUAGAGAUCCGGAGGAACACCAAAGGCGAAGGCAGUGUCCUGGGGAGUACCUGACGCUCAGGUGCGAAAGCCAGGGGAGCGAACGGG
rnacentral:rRNA from 1 species